AAAGAAGAAGAAAAAAUUCUUGAGAAGCAGCAGCAAAUCACUCUCAGGAAGAGAUAAGAAGAAAACUGAAAGAUCAAGGAUGAUUUGAGAAUCUGAAACUUGAGGGGAAAAGUUGGAAGGGUUGCUGGAGAAAACAAAAAUUACAAGGUAGACGAGGAGGACUCUACAAGAUCAUCCCCCCUCCACCAGAAGACUUUGAGGCCUUUCACUGCCAUUACCCUGAAGCUAUAUGACCUUCCACUAGAG